rnacentral:rRNA from 1 species
UGAGUAACGCGUGGGUAACCUGCCUCACACUGGGGGAUAACAGUUAGAAAUAGCUGCUAAUACCGCAUAAGCGCACAGCUCUGCAUGGAGCAGUGUGAAAAACUCCGGUGGUGUGAGAUGGACCCGCGUCUGAUUAGCCAGUUGGCGGGGUAACGGCCUACCAAAGCGACGAUCAGUAGCCGGCCUGAGAGGGUGAACGGCCACAUUGGGACUGAGACACGGCCCAAACUCCUACGGGAGGCAGCAUG